UACGGGGGGAGCAAGCGUUGUUCGGAUUUACUGGGCGUAAAGCGCACGUAGGCGGGUUGUUAAGUCAGGGGUGAAAUCCUGGAGCUCAACUCCAGAACUGCCUUUGAUACUGGCAAUCUUUGAGUCCGGGAGAGGUGGGUGGAACUGCGAGUGUAGAGGUGAAAUUCGUAGAUAUUCGCAAGAACACCAGUGGCGAAGGCGGCUCACUGGCCCGGUACUGACGCUGAGGUGCGAAAGCGUGGGGAGCAAACAGG
rnacentral:rRNA from 1 species